CAAAAUAUACUGAGAGCGAAGAGAGAGAGAGAAAACAGCUCCCCCUUCCCUUCUCCAACAGGAAAAACCGGCGGAAACGCGCCCGCACCAGAGCACUUCUGGGCUGCACAAUCCCAGCUCUCUCGACCUCUCCUCAGAUGUCAGAUGCACCAGUGUCUUCAUCAUCUUCAUGGCCCUUCACUGACUUACUGCAGAAAGUUCCUGUCUGUGUUGUACUGGACCCAGCACCCUGAUGUGUCUGUCUACUAGUGCUGAACAGAUGGGAAUAAUCACCUCCCUCGACCUUCUGGUAGAUGGAGCAUCCUUUUAAGCAUUCCUCUAAGUAUCCUGCUGGAGCCACUGUGGUUGGCAGGAGCCACCACCACCCCUGCCUGGACUGUGAAGAACACAGAUUUUCCAUGCUGAUCUGAAGGAUGCUCUCUGCUCUGGUUCUGAAGUGGUAUUGUGCACAGUACAAUCAAGCCUUCAGCCUCUCUUAAAGAUCUUUCAGACAGAUAAAGAUGGAGCACUUAUUCUUGUGGAGAUCCUCAGCGAACAACUGCAGAAUGCAAAGGAUCAAUGGCCAUGAUAUAAAAUAAUUUCUGCUCUCUGAAACACAUUCCUUUGCCCUAGGAGUGGGUCACAGUGCAAAUGGGGCCAAGCUGUCCAUUAUCUAAAGCACGGGAUUAGCCAAACAAAUAUAGCAUACAAGUCAUUUUUUGGUUGCUUUGAGGCAACACUGUAGUGGGUUGACCCUGGCCGGAUGCCAGGUACCCACUAUAGCC